CAACACAAUGCAUUCUGGGACUUUGGUUUUCUUUGUGGUGUCAGCUCUACCAUGUGUCCUCUCUCAGAUAUCACUAUCAUUCUCAGCACCUUCUGUGGUUAAACCUUCACAGUCAAUGAUGUUGACCUGUAAAGUGACUGGUGUUCUCAUUACUGAUGGAAGUAAAAUUCACGCUGUUAACUUCAUAAGACAAGACGCUGGACAUAAGUUUGUAUUUCUGGCUCACCUUAACCAUGCUCAGGGCUCAGCUUACAAUCCUUCACUAAGCAGUAGAAUUACCUUGUCAAGAGACACAAACAAAAAUGAAGUGUAUCUACAAGUAAGAUCACUGGAGACAGCGGACUCUGCAACAUAUUUCUGUGCUGCACAACCCACAAUAUGA